GGGGAUGAAUUGGAUUCGACGUAGAUGAGGAUGGUUGGAACUGCAUCUCGUGCUCUCCGCGUAGCACGCUAAUAAAGCGGAAAAUCGAUAAGUGCCAACUACAACUACGCACUGGCUGCAUAAUUAAUGCAACCCAUCCGCUGUGAUCUCGCCCGAUGGAUCACAAACGGGUGUCGCUUUAGUCGGGAUUGUCCCGUGGUUUUCUCAGGAUCAUGGGAUGAAAUUAUACUGAGAUAGUAAAUGAGAUAUGUGACCGUUCCGUAUUUUAUUUACGAGAGUUAUGAGCGGUCUAUUGAUGUAGAUGUUCCAAUGGUCUUCUCUUCGGACCGGGGUUCGAUUCCCCGCAUCUCCACAU
rnacentral:tmRNA from 1 species